ACCAAUGGAGGACUAAAUUUGUAGACCAAAUUAGUAUGAAUCUUUGUUUAGUUAGCUGGACCAAAAAUGUAAAGCAAGCUAAUUUGUGGACCAAACCAGUAUGAAUCUUUCUUGCAUCAUGACUAUGAAAAUUUGAUUAUUUUGAAACUGGUGUUAAUAUGCCAAAUUUAGAUGGAAAUUACAUCAUGCUAUAUCUCACCAUUAAUUACGAAUACUAACAUCUUGUCAGGAAAAUGUUUUUCAUUAAGCAGACUGGUUUUCUUGGCCUUUCGGGGAAGAGCGCAGACACAAUUGAUUUUUAUAUGUCUGAGAUCGAGAAACUAUCAAAAGAAAUCUCAAAAUCAACCAGCGAAGAUGUUAGAUGUUGAGCAUCCUGCUGCAAAGGUGGGAGAAUAAAGCAUCUAUUUGGCUGAGCUUCAAGACCGAGAAGUUGGAAAUGGGACAACUUCUGUGGUUAAUAUAUCAGUCAAGUGAUCUAGCAGAUAAUGAUGUAUGGAAAGAUAAAGGCACUGGUCAGCUUUCUAUCAAAUGUAAAGAGGGUGUUAACAACGGCACAAGAGAAUUCAAGCCAACAAUUCUUGUUCGAAAUGAUGUAUGUUUCUUCUAACUGUUUUUGCUUCUCGAAGUUGAGUUCAGUUUGAAAUCUUAAGUUUGUAAUGCAUCUCUGAUAUUCUUUAGUUCUUUUUAGUGCAGUACCUUACCUUUCUAUGUAUAAAUCUAUGAAGGUGCAAUCAACUCCUAACUUUGUUUAAUUGUUUGUUGAUUUUUUGAGUAUUGAUUAAAUUUAUCUAGGGGAUACAGAUAGUUGUUAAUGGAUCUAUAGAACAUGAGUUUCAUAUGAUAUUGAUAUGCCUUUAUUACAGAGAA